rnacentral:rRNA from 1 species
GAUGGACGCUGGCGGCGUGCCUAAUACAUGCAAGUCGAGCGAACAGACGAGGAGCUUGCUCCUCUGACGUUAGCGGCGGACGGGUGAGUAACACGUGGAUAACCUACCUAUAAGACUGGGAUAACUUCGGGAAACCGGAGCUAAUACCGGAUAAUAUAUUGAACCGCAUGGUUCAAUAGUGAAAGACGGUUUUGCUGUCACUUAUAGAUGGAUCCGCGCCGCAUUAGCUAGUUGGUAAGGUAACGGCUUACCAAGGCAACGAUGCGUAGCCGACCUGAGAGGGUGAUCGGCCACACUGGAACUGAGACACGGUCCAGACUCCUACGGGAGGCAGCAGUAGGGAAUCUUCCGCAAUGGGCGAAAGCCUGACGGAGCAACGCCGCGUGAGUGAUGAAGGUCUUCGGAUCGUAAAACCCUGUUAUUAGGGAAGAACAAAUGUGUAAGUAACUAUGCACGUCUUGACGGUACCUAAUCAGAAAGCCACGGCUAACUACGUG